rnacentral:rRNA from 1 species
GCGAAGCGGAGAACUUAAGCGCCAGUAAACGGCGGUGGUAACUAUAACCAUCCUAAGGUAGCGAAAUUCCUUGUCGGGUAAGUUCCGACCUGCACGAAUGGCGUAACGACUUCCCCACUGUCUCAACCACAGGCCCGGCGAAAUUGCAGUACGAGUAAAGAUGCUCGUUACGCGCGGCAGGACGGAAAGACCCCGGGACCUUUACUAUAGCUUGACAUUGGUAUCUGAAUGGACUUGUGUAGGAUAGGUGGGAGCCGGUGAAGUCCAUACGCCAGUAUGGGUGGAGGCAAUCUUGAAAUACCACUCUGGUUGAUUUGGGUAUCUAACUUCGGACCGUUAUCCGGUUCAGGGACAGUGUCUGGUGGGUAGUUUAACUGGGGCGGUUGCCUCCUAAAAGGUAACGGAGGCGCCCAAAGGUUCCCUCAGCCUGGUUGGCAAUCAGGUGUUGAGUGCAAGUGCACAAGGGAGCUUGACUGUGAGACUGACAGGUCGAGCAGGGACGAAAGUCGGGACUAGUGAUCCGGCACUGGCAUGUGGAAGCGGUGUCGCUCAACGGAUAAAAGGUACCCCGGGGAUAACAGGCUGAUCUUCCCCAAGAGUCCAUAUCGACGGGAUGGUUUGGCACCUCGAUGUCGGCUCGUCGCAUCCUGGGGCUGUAGCAGGUCCCAAGGGUUGGGCUGUUCGCCCAUUAAAGCGGUACGCGAGCUGGGUUUAGAACGUCGUGAGACAGUUCGGUCCCUAUCCGCCGUGCGCGUAGGAUACUUGAGAAGGGCUGUCCCUAGUACGAGAGGACCGGGACGGACGAACCUCUGGUGUGCCAGUUGUCCCGCCAGGGGCACGGCUGGUUAGCUACGUUCGGAAGGGAUAACCGCUGAAAGCAUCUAAGCGGGAAGCUCGCUUCAAGAUGAGGUAUCCCACCCACCUUGGUGGGGUAAGGCCCCCAGCUAGACGACUGGGUUGAUAGGCCGGAACUGUAAGCCCGGUAACGGGUUCAGGUGACCGGUACUAAUAGGCCGAGGACUUGACUAC